rnacentral:rRNA from 1 species
GAUGAACGCUGGCGGCGUGCCUAAUACAUGCAAGUCGAGCGAACAGACGAGGAGCUUGCUCCUCUGACGUUAGCGGCGGACGGGUGAGUAACACGUGGAUAACCUACCUAUAAGACUGGGAUAACUUCGGGAAACCGGAGCUAAUACCGGAUAAUAUUUUGAACCGCAUGGUUCAAUAGUUAAAGACGGUCUUGCUGUCACUUAUAGAUGGAUCCGCGCGGCAUUAGCUAGUUGGUAAGGUAACGGCUUACCAAGGCAACGAUGCGUAGCCGACCUGAGAGGGUGAUCGGCAACACUGGAAGUGAGACACGGUCCAGAGUCCUACGGGAGGCAGCAGUAGGGAAUGUUCCGCAAUGGGCGAAAGCCUGACGGAGCAAGGCCGAGUGAGUGAUGAAGGUCUUCGGAUCGUAAAACUCUGUUAUUAGGGAAGAACAAAUGUGUAAGUAAAUAUGCACAUAUUGACGGUAACUAAUCAGAAAGCAACGGCUAACUACGUG